rnacentral:RNase_P_RNA from 2 species
GCCGCGAGGCUCACACCGCACAGGACGUCUCGCACGUCUCUUCUUCGUGAGCGGGCUAAGGUCUGAGUAUACAUAUCCCCCUCGAUCCGUCUUAGCAGGACCCAGCUCUCACGAGCUGAGCGACGUACAAUAAAUAUCCUAUAGCCUGCCUCUCCGAGAAGAGAAGCCCCGCAGCUGCUGACUUUUUGGUCUACCGAAGAUUCCUCGUCGGUGUGAUUGGAACUCCGGCCGCUGACGAGUGAGGAGGGAGCUGUGCAGGGUGGGCAACGGCUGUGGUUGAAAGGCGUCGCGGGGAUUUGGGUGCGUUCUCUUCUUUCGUCGUGCUUUUAUUCUUUCUCGUGCCCUAUACGUCCCCGUGUUCGCGCCCUGCACUUCUGUGCGCCUCUGGACCAGAUGUCAUGUCCUUUUGAAGAAGGGCAUCCAUCUGUUCUUGAGGACAGUAUGCCCAUUGAUCCGAGCUAUGUCGGUGAUAUAACCCACGAGGCAUGCACUUAGGGUUGCGAUGUAAAUCAUGGGACUUGGGCUGGCGCAAGAAGCGGGGGCGGGGCAUGGGUCGGGAUGAUAGUGUGAUGAAAGGGAGGAUUGUAUCCUUGAGUCCACUUCGCGGCUCGCGCUUUACCGUUUGCCCUUCUGGGUAGACAGGUGCGAAACUCGAUUCAGACUACUCUUGGACUGU